rnacentral:pre_miRNA from 1 species
UAGCAGCACGUAAAUAUUGGGUGAUAUGAUAUGGAGCCCCAGUAUUAUUGUACUGCUUAA